AGCGGGUGAAAAGCCCGCUCGCCGGAAGACCAAGGGUUCCUGUCCAACGUUAAUCGGGGCAGGGUGAGUCGACCCCUAAGGCGAGGCCGAAAGGCGUAGUCGAUGGGAAACGGGUUAAUAUUCCCGUACUUGGUGUUACUGCGAAGGGGGGACGGAGAAGGCUAUGUUGGCCGGGCGACGGUUGUCCCGGUUUAAGCGUGUAGGUGUGUGUUCCAGGUAAAUCCGGUUCACUUUAACACUGAGGCGUGAUGACGAGGCACUACGGUGCUGAAGCAACAAAUGCCCUGCUUCCAGGAAAAGCCUCUAAGCAUCAGGUAACAUCAAAUCGUACCCCAAACCGACACAGGUGGUCAGGUAGAGAAUACCAAGGCGCUUGAGAGAACUCGGGUGAAGGAACUAGGCAAAAUGGUGCCGUAACUUCGGGAGAAGGCACGCUGACAUGUAGGUGAAGUGAUUUACUCAUGGAGCUGAAGUCAGUCGAAGAUACCAGCUGGCUGCAACUGUUUAUUAAAAACACAGCACUGUGCAAACACGAAAGUGGACGUAUACGGUGUGACGCCUGCCCGGUGCCGGAAGGUUAAUUGAUGGGGUC
rnacentral:rRNA from 1 species